rnacentral:rRNA from 1 species
GACGAACGCUGGCGGCGUGCUUAACACAUGCAAGUCGAGCGGUAAGGCCCUUUCGGGGGUACACGAGCGGCGAACGGGUGAGUAACACGUGGGUGACCUGCCCUCAGCUCUGGGAUAAGCCUGGGAAACCGGGUCUAAUACUGGAUAUGACUCCAUGACGCAUGUUGGUGGGGUGGAAAGCCUUGUGCGGCUGAGGAUGGGCCCGCGGCCUAUCAGCUUGUUGGUGGGGUGANGGCCUACCAAGGCGACGACGGGUAGCCGGCCUGAGAGGGCGACCGGCCACACUGGGACUGAGACACGGCCCAGACUCCGUACGGGAGGCAGCAGUGGGGAAUCUUGCGCAAUGGGCGAAAGCCUGACGCAGCGACGCCGCGUGAGGGAUGACGGCC